UACCAGCACCCCGAGUGGUCGGGACGAUUAUUGGGCCUAAAGCAUCCGUAGCCGGUCUUGCAAGUCUUCCGUUAAAUCCAGCUGCUUAACAGAUGGGCUGCGGAAGAUACUACAAGACUAGGAGGUGGGAGAGGCAAGCGGUACUCAGUGGGUAGGGGUAAAAUCCUCUGAUCCAUUGAAGACCACCAGUGGCGAAGGCGGCUUGCCAGAACACGCUCGACGGUGAGGGAUGAAAGCUGGGGGAGCAAACCGG
rnacentral:rRNA from 1 species